rnacentral:rRNA from 1 species
UACGUAGGCAGCAAGCGUUGUUCGGAGUUACUGGGCGUAAAGCGCGCGCAGGCGGUUCUUUUAAGUCUGAUGUGAAAGCCCACGGCUCAACCGUGGAGGGUCAUUGGAAACUGGGGGACUUGAGUGCAGAAGAGGAAAGCGGAAUUCCACGUGUAGCGGUGAAAUGCGUAGAGAUGUGGAGGAACACCAGUGGCGAAGGCGGCUUUCUGGUCUGUAACUGACGCUGAGGCGCGAAAGCGUGGGGGAGCAAACAGG